AGAGUUUGAACCUGGCUCAGGACGAACGCUGGCGGCGUGCCUAAUACAUGCAAGUCGAGCGGACAGAUGGGAGCUUGCUCCCUGAUGUUAGCGGCGGACGGGUGAGUAACACGUGGGUAACCUGCCUGUAAGACUGGGAUAACUCCGGGAAACCGGGGCUAAUACCGGAUGGUUGUUUGAACCGCAUGGUUCAGACAUAAAAGGUGGCUUCGGCUACCACUUACAGAUGGACCCGCGGCGCAUUAGCUAGUUGGUGAGGUAACGGCUCACCAAGGCGACGAUGCGUAGCCGACCUGAGAGGGUGAUCGGCCACACUGGGACUGAGACACGGCCCAGACUCCUACGGGAGGCAGCAGUAGGGAAUCUUCCGCAAUGGACGAAAGUCUGACGGAGCAACGCCGCGUGAGUGAUGAAGGUUUUCGGAUCGUAAAGCUCUGUUGUUAGGGAAGAACAAGUGCCGUUCAAAUAGGGCGGCACCUUGACGGUACCUAACCAGAAAGCCACGGCUAACUACGUGCCAGCAGCCGCGGUAAUACGUAGGUGGCAAGCGUUGUCCGGAAUUAUUGGGCGUAAAGGGCUCGCAGGCGGUUUCUUAAGUCUGAUGUGAAAGCCCCCGGCUCAACCGGGGAGGGUCAUUGGAAACUGGGGAACUUGAGUGCAGAAGAGGAGAGUGGAAUUCCACGUGUAGCGGUGAAAUGCGUAGAGAUGUGGAGGAACACCAGUGGCGAAGGCGACUCUCUGGUCUGUAACUGACGCUGAGGAGCGAAAGCGUGGGGAGCGAACAGGAUUAGAUACCCUGGUAGUCCACGCCGUAAACGAUGAGUGCUAAGUGUUAGGGGGUUUCCGCCCCUUAGUGCUGCAGCUAACGCAUUAAGCACUCCGCCUGGGGAGUACGGUCGCAAGACUGAAACUCAAAGGAAUUGACGGGGGCCCGCACAAGCGGUGGAGCAUGUGGUUUAAUUCGAAGCAACGCGAAGAACCUUACCAGGUCUUGACAUCCUCUGACAAUCCUAGAGAUAGGACGUCCCCUUCGGGGGCAGAGUGACAGGUGGUGCAUGGUGUCGUCAGCU
rnacentral:rRNA from 1 species